rnacentral:lncRNA from 1 species
AAUUUCCGUUCCAUAAUUUGUAUUUCAUUUUAUAUAUUUUGCACAUCUCAGGGGACCUUCAUAAGCACAUGAAAGGGGGUUGCCAUCAAAUAGAGAAAACGGGAAGAGCUUGAAAGAGGACUAGCUGGAUAAAAGUAAUAAAUGGCUGCUUUUCUGAUGUUGUGAAAUUCAAGUUCAGGAAGCAUCCAGUGAAAGUUAAUCUGGAAUCACAACGAUGUGAACACCAGCUGUUCCUCAGUCUCCCUUUUUCAUAAUCCAACCAGCAUUUCUAAAAUGUA